rnacentral:rRNA from 1 species
UUUAUGGAGAGUUUGAUCCUGGCUCAGGAUGAACGCUGGCGGCGUGCCUAAUACAUGCAAGUCGAGCGAACAGACAAGGAGCUUGCUCCUUUGACGUUAGCGGCGGACGGGUGAGUAACACGUGGGUAACCUACCUAUAAGACUGGGAUAACUUCGGGAAACCGGAGCUAAUACCGGAUAAUAUUU